rnacentral:tRNA from 1 species
GAGAGAGGUUAAUGUGACACCAAGAACUGCUAACUCUUGAACCCACGGUUAAACUCCGUGGCUCACUCG